rnacentral:rRNA from 1 species
UUAGAGUUUGAUCCUGGCUCAGGAUGAACGCUAGCGGCAGGCUUAACACAUGCAAGUCGAGGGGCAGCGAGAUCAGUGCUUGCACUGAUUGUCGGCGACCGGCGCACGGGUGCGUAACGCGUAUGCAACCUACCCAUUACAGGGGGAUAACACUGAGAAAUCGGUACUAAUACCCCAUAACAUCCAGGGAGGCAUCUUCUUGGGUUGAAAACUCCGGUGGUAAUGGAUGGGCAUGCGUUGUAUUAGUUAGUUGGUGGGGUAACGGCUCACCAAGACAACGAUACAUAGGGGGACUGAGAGGUUAACCCCCCACAUUGGUACUGAGACACGGACCAAACUCCUACGGGAGGCAGCAGUGAGGAAUAUUGGUCAAUGGACGCAAGUCUGAACCAGCCAUGCCGCGUGCAGGAAGACGGCUCUAUGAGUUGUAAACUGCUUUUGUACGAGGGUAAACGCAGAUACGCGUAUCUGUCUGAAAGUAUCGUACGAAUAAGGAUCGGCUAACUCCGUGCCAGCAGCCGCGGUAAUACGGAGGAUUCAAGCGUUAUCCGGAUUUAUUGGGUUUAAAGGGUGCGUAGGCGGUCGGAUAAGUUAGAGGUGAAAUCCCGGGGCUCAACUUCGGAAUUGCCUCUGAUACUGUUCGGCUAGAGAGUAGUUGCGGUAGGCGGAAUGUAUGGUGUAGCGGUGAAAUGCUUAGAGAUCAUACAGAACACCGAUUGCGAAGGCAGCUUACCAAGCUACUUCUGACGUUGAGGCACGAAAGCGUGGGGAGCAAACAGGAUUAGAUACCCUGGUAGUCCACGCAGUAAACGAUGAUAACUCGUUGUCGGCGAUACAGUGUCGGUGACUAAGCGAAAGCGAUAAGUUAUCCACCUGGGGAGUACGUUCGCAAGAAUGAAACUCAAAGGAAUUGACGGGGGCCCGCACAAGCGGAGGAACAUGUGGUUUAAUUCGAUGAUACGCGAGGAACCUUACCCGGGCUUGAAAGUUAGUGACGGAUCUUGAAAGAGGUCUUCCCUUCGGGGCACGAAACUAGGUGCUGCAUGGUUGUCGUCAGCUCGUGCCGUGAGGUGUCGGGUUAAGUCCCAUAACGAGCGCAACCCCUACCGUUAGUUGCCAGCAGGUCAAGCUGGGCACUCUGACGGGACUGCCGGUGUAAGCCGAGAGGAAGGUGGGGAUGACGUCAAAUCAGCACGGCCCUUACGUCCGGGGCUACACACGUGUUACAAUGGCAGGUACAGAGGGCAGCUACCCAGCGAUGGGAUGCGAAUCUCGAAAGCCUGUCUCAGUUCGGAUUGGAGGCUGAAACCCGCCUCCAUGAAGUUGGAUUCGCUAGUAAUCGCGCAUCAGCCAUGGCGCGGUGAAUACGUUCCCGGGCCUUGUACACACCGCCCGUCA